AUGUUCUGUCAGCCUGGCCUUGCACAGCAGCAGGAUUGUAACCUCAGCUCUGGACAGCUCAGUCCCUGCCCUUACUUUCCCUCUGUGACACACCUGGGCAGGGGCCAGGGCCGGGACCGGCACCGGGAGCGCAGCGGGAGCGGGACGAGCCGGGCCGCGGCGCCGCCUCCCGGGGGCAGCGGGAGCGCAGAAGGGCCGGCGGCGGCAGGAGAGCGCGGCGGCCGGGAGGAGCCGGCGGGAGGCGGCCGGAGCCAGGCGGGAGCGGGCCGGGAGGAGCCGCCAUGGAGCGGAAGAGGUGGGAGCGCUCGGCGGGGCCGCCCCGGGCGCGGGGGGCCGGGCCGGGGCUGCAGCCACAGGUGGAGGGGAAGGGAGCGGGGAGCCGGCCCGGGGCGGCCGCGGGGGGCCGGGGAUGCUCGGCCCCCCUCAGGGAUCGGGGAGCGCCGUGAGGAGCCCCCGCGUCCCCUCAGAGCGGCUCCUGCCCCGCGGGCACUCCGGGUUCUUUAUUCUCGAAGGAGCAGCGCGGGGGGUGCUCCUCCUUCCCCGGGGCUCGCUCCGCUGCCCUCUGGGUGCGCUCGGGGAUUGCGGGGAGGGAGCCCGGGCUGCUGGCGGUGCUGGCCCCGGGGCGGGUCGGGAUGCGCCUUGCCGGGAGUGUGGCUGCGGGGGGAGCGCACGGCCCGGGAGCUGGAGGGGUGCUAUUUAUAGCCCUGCAUGGCUCAUAUGGCUGUAGGUGGCCAUAUGGAUCCUCCCCGCACCCACGAGGCACCCGCGGGCUGAGGUGUGAAACUCGCGUCCAGCGGGAGCUGCGAACGCAGCAGGAGCUGUCCCUGUGUCCUCACCUGGCCCUGCCUGUCGGGAAAAUCCAAACCCUCAACUUCUGCCUCUGACACAGGAUCCUCACAGCACGGUUUGGGUCGGGAGGGACCUUGAAGCCCAUCUCAUCCCACCUUGCCAUGGGUAGGGACACAUUCCACUGGACCGGUGGCUCCCAGCCCCGUCCAACCUGGCCUUGGACACUUCCAGGGGUGGGACAGACACAGCUUUAGCUCCAGGUUUCAUUUUUAGAAUCAGGUUAUGGUUGUGAGGAAAGGGGAGUGAACCAGAAAGUGCUGUCCUCGAGAACGUGAAGCCGAUUCUGCUGCUGCAGCUCGGAGGCUGAGGGCAGGAUGAGACCACCACCAGCAGCUGAAAGCUUCAGAGAUUGUUUGUCCCAGAACUUGUUUGUUAAGUUGCAGUGUCGGAGAUGAACUUUAAAAAAAGGGGAGGAGAGGAUAAGUAGCAUAUUUUUAUUCCCAAAUUAUGAUGGGUUUUCCCUUUGUAUCAAUUUGGACAGAGAUCAAAGGUAGAAUAGAGCUUUGUUGCGCUAAUUUUUGGUUUCUGUUGCAUUUUGCAUUACCUCAGAGUGGCAAAUGCAGGUGUGGCAGUUCAGUAAUACCUGUGAGAGUUCUGCCUGUUGUUUACCUGGGCGAUUGUUCUGUCCAGCUCCCAGGCACGUACAGAUGCAGGGAGGGUUUGUGGAAAACCCCCUGUGAGAUGUGUUUGAGCCAGUCUCUGGCUGGAAAUUCCAUCUUCCUCCAGGUCUGAGUGCCUGGACAGGUUUUUACAGCCAGUCCUCGAACCUCAUCCUUAGGAGCGUUUCUGGCUGAGAGGCUUGGCUGGAUUUGGAGUGAGCAGAAGUGCAGGGAUGGAGUCUUGCAGGAAGAAA
rnacentral:lncRNA from 1 species